AUUGACAAAAAGGCUGAGAGAGUGUGAAAAUGAACACCGGGAAAUACAAGAAGCUCACCAUAAAUUGAUCGACAAGUGGAGGCAUAUGGCUAUCAACUCCAACAAGCGGUUAGGGUAUCUGUAAUGAGGUCUAGUGGAGCUGGAAGGAAAGUUCUUGAAAAGGAAUGAAGACUGCCAAAAUGCCGAGGGAGGUGCAGGUGGACAUCUAGUCUGAUCCUAUCUGCUGCUAGGACUACGCGAGUUGAUGCAACUGUACGAGGGAGGCAAGAAUACUGAAUCUGGG
rnacentral:lncRNA from 1 species